rnacentral:tRNA from 1 species
GGAGAGAUGUCCGAGCGGUUUAAGGAGCUUGUCUUGAAAACAAGUGUGCCCGCAAGGGUACCGAGGGUUCGAAUCCCUCUCUCUCCGCCA